rnacentral:rRNA from 1 species
AAGCGGUGGAGCAUGUGGUUCAAUUCGACGCAACGCGAAGAACCUUACCAGCCCUUGACUUGUGACUCGCCGGCUCCAGAGACGGAGCCUUCGGUUCGGCCGGAGUCAACACAGGUGCUGCAUGGCUGUCGUCAGCUCGUGUCGUGAGAUGUUGGGUUAAGUCCCGCAACGAGCGCAACCCUCGUCUCCAGUUGCCAUCAGGUAAUGCUGGGCACUUUGGAGAAACUGCCGGUGACAAGCCGGAGGAAGGUGGGGAUGACGUCAAGUCCUCAUGGCCCUUACGGGCUGGGCUACACACGUGCUACAAUGGCGGUGACAGUGGGAUGCGAAGGGGCGACCCGGAGCCGAUCCUAAAAAGCCGUCUCAGUUCGGAUUGCACUCUGCAACUCGAGUGCAUGAAGGUGGAAUCGCUAGUAAUCGAGGACUUCACGCACUGCCUCGGUAGUAAUACGUUACCGGUCUU